rnacentral:lncRNA from 1 species
CUGCUUCAGACUUCCAUAAUGAUUAUCAAAUUGGCCAUUCUGUAAUCGAUGAUUGGUUUCCCCUUCUGUGAAAAUGGAUGAUUUAGAGAACUUAUCAACUUGUUUUUGUUAUCUAUUAUCGUUUACGGACUUGUUUGAAUUAUUCUACAUUUCUUGUUUUCAGUAUUAUCGUGAUAUACUGCUGCCUUUGAUCUCUGUAUUUUCGUCGUAAAUGAUUAUUUGAUGAUCCGCGUUCUUGUUUUAAGUAUUUUCGCUCUAGGAGAUGCUAAUGUAGACUCAUUUAGGGUUUAGGGUUUCUUGGUUAAAAUAGAUUUGAGAUUGGUUGCUGCAUAUUCUGUUACCAGCAGUAUGUUCCAAGGAUGUGCUACUGGAGUUUCAUUCAGGGUUUGUGGGACGUUUAAAGCUUUGUAAUCUCGUCUUUUAUACUGUUUUUAUCUACUUCUCUCAUCAUUCAUAAAUAAAAACCCAUAGCCUUCAAUAAAUGGCCAAUCCUUCCUUUAAGAGAUAUUCAAC